rnacentral:rRNA from 1 species
UACGUAGGGUGCAAGCGUUGUCCGGAAUUAUUGGGCGUAAGAGCUCGUAGGCGGUUUGUCGCGUCUGCUGUGAAAACUCGGGGCUUAACCCCGGGCCUGCAGUGGGUACGGCAGACUAGAGUGCGGUAGGGGAGACUGGAAUUCCUGGUGUAGCGGUGAAAUGCGCAGAUAUCAGGAGGAACACCGGUGGCGAAGGCGGGUCUCUGGGCCGUAACUGACGCUGAGGAGCGAAAGCAUGGGAGCGAACAGG